AUUGAACGCUGGCGGCAGGCUUAACACAUGCAAGUCGAGCGAGCGGCGGACGGGUGAGUAAUGUCUGGGAAACUGCCUGAUGGAGGGGGAUAACUACUGGAAACGGUAGCUAAUACCGCAUACUAUCGGAUGAACCCAUAUGGGAUUAGGUAGUUGGUGAGGUAAAGGCUCACCAAGCCGACGAUCUCUAGCUGGUCUGAGAGGAUGACCGGCCACACUGGGACUGAGACACGGCCCAGACUCCUACGGGAGGCAGCAGUGGGGAAUAUUGCGCAAUGGGGGCAACCCUGACGCAGCCAUGCCGCGUGAAUGAAGAAGGCCUUCGGGUUGUAAAGUUCUUUCGGUAGCGAGGCGGUAACUACAGAAGAAGCACCGGCUAACUCCGUGCCAGCAGCCGCGGUAAUAC
rnacentral:rRNA from 1 species